GCGAAGAAGCGAAGCUUAAGGAGGACGAAGCUAGACUAUGGGUGACGCGUCAGCGAAGAAGGCGACCGGAUCAGGAUCUUGAGAAUGUGGGAAAUAGAUUAGAUAAAUCUUGCAAACCAGGAUCAGAAAAAGCUUGUUCAACAGAUCCUUCCAAUUCUGGUUUUCAUGGAUCCAAGUGUGCCUAUUGGGAAGAAAUUGCUGCAUUGAUAUGAAAUGAUCUUCUGCGCCUAAGCCAACGAUUCAGAUAAGGCUCGAGAGUGAAAUAGAACCUUGACUUUCAUUUGAAACCCAUAAUACUAACUCUGCGAUCGCCUAUGUCUUUCUAUCCUUCCCAACGGUCUCAGUCCUACGAUUGACUUAGAUAAGUGGUGUUCGAAAAAUGCUCGACCAAAGGAAUGAAUCACAAGGUGAAUUUGAAGCCUCAACGAGAAAGGAAGGUCGUUGGGGACAAGUCAAAUUCUUUCAUUUAGUGGUUUCGUAGAUAAGAGAACUCUUGCUUUUAGGAGCUUCAU
rnacentral:lncRNA from 1 species